rnacentral:rRNA from 1 species
GACAGAGGCCUCAAGCGUUAGGCGGAAUCACUGGGCUUAAAGCGUGUGUAGGCGGAUCGUUAAGUGUCUUGUGAAAUCCCACGGCUCACCCGUGGAACUGCUGGGCAUACUGGCGAUCUUGGGCCAACUAGGGGCAACUGGAACAAGCGGUGGAGCGGUGAAAUGCGUAGAUAUCGGGAAGAACACCUGUGGCGAAAGCGGCUCACUGGACCAUAACUGACGCUGAGGCGCGAAAGCUAGGGGAGCAAACAGG